rnacentral:rRNA from 1 species
UUGCACGCUGGCGGCAGGCCUAACACCUGCAAGUCGAACGGUAACAGGAAGCAGCUUGCUGCUUUGCUGACGAGUGGCGGACGGGUGAGUAAUGUCUGGGAAACUGCCCGAUGGAGGGGGAUAACUACUGGAAACGGUAGCUAAUACCGCAUAACGUCGCAAGACCAAAGAGGGGGACCUUAGGGCCUCUUGCCAUCGGAUGUGCCCAGAUGGGAUUAGCUAGUAGGUGGGGUAACGGCUCACCUAGGCGACGAUCCCUAGCUGGUCUGAGGGGAUGACCAGCCACACUGGAACUGAGACACGGUCCAGACUCCUACGGGAGGCAGCAGUGGGGAAUAUUGCACAAUGGGCGCAAGCCUGAUGCAGCCAUGCCGCGUGUAUGAAGAAGGCCUUCGGGUUGUAAAGUACUUUCAGCGGGGAGGAAGGGAGUAAAGUUAAUACCUUUGCUCAUUGACGUUACCCGCAGAAGAAGCACCGGCUAACUCCGUG